rnacentral:rRNA from 1 species
GAUGAACGCUGGCGGCGUGCCUAAUACAUGCAAGUCGAGCGAACAGACGAGGAGCUUGCUCCUCUGACGUUAGCGGCGGACGGGUGAGUAACACGUGGAUAACCUACCUAUAAGACUGGGAUAACUUCGGGAAACCGGAGCUAAUACCGAUAAUAUAUUGAACCGCAUGGUUCAAUAGUGAAAGACGGUUGUGCUGUCACUUAUAGAUGGAUCCGCGCCGCAUUAGCUAGUUGGUAAGGUAACGGCUUACCAAGGCAAGUAUGGUUAGCCGACCUGAGAGGGUGUUCGGCCACCUUGGAACGUGACCAGGCACAAGACUCCUAAGGGAGGAACCAGUAGGCAAUCUUCGGCAAUGGUGGAAAGCUUGACGGAGCAGCGCGGCGUGAGUGAUGAAGGUCUUCGGUUCGUAAAAAUCUGUUAUUAGUGAAAAACAACUGUCUCAGUAAAUAUGCACGUCUUGACGGUACCUAAUAAGAAAGCAACGGCUAACUACGUG